UACAAUCACAUCAGGUUGACACACUAGUUCCCGUACGAUACACCGCAGUUAAGCAACAUCGCUCCUGGUCAGUAGCUAACUGGGCGACCGCUUGGGAAUACCAGGUGCUGUU